AGCUUAGAAGGAAAUCAGAGUCAGAGAUCAGACAGAGCAUGAAAUUCUCUCACCUAAUCGAUCACAAGGAACACCGGAAGGUUGAGCUUUCAAGAUCGAUCAAGGCUACAGGAUUUGAGAAACGAUCGAUUUUGAAAAAAGUAACUUAUAUA